rnacentral:rRNA from 1 species
CCCAAUCGGAAAUACCGGAGGCAGUAGAAAAGGAAUAAGAAUGACAAAGGAAGCAAUUCCGAGUCAAUUCAAAUGAGUUAGAUGAAAAAUAGCAAACGAGAAGCAAGGUGGAGGGCAAGUCUGGUGCCAGCAGCCGCGGUAAUACCAGCUCCACUAGCAUAUGUUAAAGUUGCUGCAGUUAAAACGCUCGUAGUUGGGAUAAAAGAAGGAGAAAGCAAAAGAGAAAAUAAGAAAUUGUUUUCAUUUUGUUUUUUCUUCGUUUUAAUUUAUUUGGUGAAUUGAGGUAAUUGAGUUUGCCUUGUCACCGUAUCACCUUGAACAAAGCAUGUCGCUCAAAAUGGGGUCUUCAGACAAGGAGUGUUGAGCAUGGAAUGAGAGAAUAUGAGAAGGAAAAAAAAGAAGAGAGUGAUCUUGGAGGUUUUUCUUUCUAAUGGCAAAUGGGAA